CUACGGGGUGCUGCAGUGAGGAAUUUUGCGCAAUGGGCGAAAGCCUGACGCAGCAACGCCGCGUGAGUGAUGAAGGCCUUCGGGUCGUAAAGCUCUGUCAAGUGGGAAGAACCUAUGUAAUGUUAAUAUCAUUAUAUACUGACGGUACCACUGAAGGAAGCACCGGCUAACUCCGUGCCAGCAGGCGCGGUAAUACGGGGGGUGCAAGCGUUAUUCGGAAUCAUUGGGCGUAAAGGGCACGUAGGCGGCCUGGUAAGUCAGAUGUGAAAGCCCGGGGCUUAACCCCGGAAGUGCAUUUGGUACUGUCAGUCUUGAGUAUGGGAGAGGGAAGUGGAAUUCCUGGUGUAGAGGUGAAAUUCGUAGAUAUCAGGAGGAACACCGGUGGCGAAGGCGACUUCCUGGACCAAUACUGACGCUGAGGUGCGAAGGCGUGGGUAGCAAACAGGAUUAGAUACCCUAGUAGUC
rnacentral:rRNA from 1 species